rnacentral:rRNA from 1 species
AACAACGCUGGCGGCAUGCCUACACAUGCAAGUCGAGCGCGCCUUCGGGUGAGCGGCGGAUCGGGUUAGUAACGCGUGGGAACGUGCCCUUUUACUACGGCACACCGUUAGGUCCCUCUUGGGAAAAAAAAACAUACGCGCAUGAGUAAAUACCGGGUAUACGCCCUUUGGGGGAAAGAUUUCUCGGAGAGAGGAUCGGCCCGCGUUAGAUUACGUAGUUAGUGGGGUAACGGCCUACCAAUCCUACGAUCUAUAGCUGGUUUUAGAGGAUAGAUCAGCAUCACUGGGACUGAAACACGGCCCAGACUCCUACGGGUAGGCAGCAGUGGGGAAUCUUAGACAAUGGGGGCAACCCUGAUCUAUCCAUGCCGCGUGAAGUGAUGAAUGGCCUUAUGGUCGUAAAGCUCUUUCGGCUGUGAUGAUGAUGACAGUAUCCGGUAAAGAAAACCCGGAUAACUCCGUGCCAGCAGCCGCGGUAAUA